rnacentral:rRNA from 1 species
CCCUUCGAUGUUCUGGGCUGCACGCGCGCUACACUGAUAAAGUCAACGAGUUUACAACCUUUUCUGAAAGGAAUGGGUAAUCUUUUGAAACUUUAUCGUGAUGGGGAUAGAAGAUUGCAAUUAUUUUUCUUGAACGAGGAAUGCCUAGUAAUAGUGGUUCAUCAGACCGCUGUGAUUACGUCCCUGCCCUUUGUACACACCGCCCGUCGCUCCUACCGAUUGAAUGCUCAGGUGAGCCAUUCGGACCUUCAUCAUGCCGGUUUCCGGUUUUGAUGAGGGAAAGUCUUGCGAACCUUAUCAUUUAGAGGAAGGAGAAGUCGUAACA